UUCACCGGUAAACCGAAAUAUCUGCUUUAUCCAAUGGCUCGGUGGUCGCAUUUAAAGUUGCGAUGGUGUGCGUCGUACCCCGUUUCCUGUGGUGUGGCCCCUUGAUUUUUGCAUGGCCCUUAUUUCUGGGAUAAGUCUUAUAACGAUCUGCAAAUGAUGAACAGAGUGGAUUUCACGAACAUCACCGUGUGCCCGAUAGUUAUUUACGUCGCGUCCGCAUUACUCGCAGCAUUUGGCAUGCAAUUCCAACUCUACCCAAUCAAUGGCGGCAAUGCUCUCCUUCUCCCCACACCUCUCCAAUACCCAAACCCCGCGCAAUGACCAAAACCCCCACAACUUUCUCCCUUAUUCCCAGCAUAUCCCUCCCGCCAAAACCACCAACCGCAAACCAACCCCAAUCUCCUGCUUCAGCAACAGCAGUGAGUCGUCGUCGAAGAGAGACGAUAUCUGGGAAAAGAAGAAGGAAGGGUUUGUAGACUACGACAAGGGCAAAUACCGAGUCACGACUCAACUGAGUGGACUCGGAAAAGACGACAUCCCCAAGCGCUACCGGCUCCGGGUUGAUGGCGACCCGAGGCAGAGGGACUGGAAAAUUUCCGAGGUCGUUGAGAGGAUUCUCAAGCUUAAACAUUGGGAGGACAUUGAAGGUGUCCUCAAUCGGUGGGCGGGUCGCUUUGCCAGGAAGAAUUUCCCUGUUCUUGUUCGGGAGAUAACCCAAGCUGGUUCCCUUGAACACGGCGUUCAAGUUUUCCGUUGGAUGAAAAAUCAAAAGAACUAUUGUGCUCGAAAUGAUAUCUACAAUAUGAUGAUUAGGCUGCAUGCUAGACACAAUCGAGUGGAUCAAGCACGUGGUUUGUUUUUUGAGAUGCAAGAGUGGAGGUGCAAGCCUGAUGCUGAAACUUACAAUGCUCUAAUUAAUGCACAUGGACGAGCUGGUCAAUGGCGCUGGGCAAUGAAUAUAAUGGAUGAUAUGCUUCGUGCAGCCAUUCCUCCGAGCCGAUCUACAUAUAACAACCUGAUUAAUGCUUGUGGGUCUGCUGGACACUGGAAAGAAGCUCUCAUAGUUUGCAAGAAAAUGACAGAUAAUGGUGUUGGGCCUGAUUUGGUGACUCAUAAUAUUGUUCUAUCUGCUUUCAAAACCGGGGCCCAAUAUUCAAAAGCUUUGUCCUAUUUUGAACUAAUGAAAGGAACAAAGAUCCGUCAUGACACAGUCACUCUUAAUAUUGUAAUACACUGCCUAGUAAAGCUGGGACGGUAUGAGGAGGCUGUGGAUGUUUUUAACUCAAUGAGGGAGAAACGAGCAGAAUGCCGUCCUGAUAUUGUAACAUUCACUAGUAUCAUUCAUGCAUAUUCUGUUUGUGGACAAAUUGAAAACUGCAAGGCUGUAUUUGAUGUGAUGCUUGCUGAAGGUUUCAAACCAAAUAUUGUUACAUUUAAUGCACUUAUUGGUGCUUAUGCUUCACAUGGUAUGCAUGAGGAUGCAUUGGGAGUUUUUAACUUGCUUAAAGGUUCUGGCUUCCGACCUGAUGUUGUAUCAUAUACUUCUCUGCUCAAUGCUUAUGGUAGAUCAGGACGACCUGAAAAGGCUAGGAACAUCUUUGACAUGAUGAAGCGGAAUUCAUGGAAGCCAAAUUUGGUGAGUUACAAUGCUCUGAUCGAUGCUUACGGAUCUGAAGGAUUGUUAGAUGAAGCAGUGCAAGUGUUCCGUGAAAUGGAAAGAGAUGGAAUUCAGCCAAACAUUGUCACCAUAUGUACCCUUCUGGCUGCUUGUGGGCGUUGUGACCAAAGGGUGAAAAUUGAAACUAUACUUUCAGCAGCUGAUUCUCGAGGCAUCAAACUGAACACAGUUGCAUAUAAUUCAGCUAUUGGAAGCUAUUUAAGUGUUGGGGAAUUUGACAAAGCUUUAAGCUUAUAUAGGUGUAUGAGAGAAAAGGGUGCUAAACCUGAUUCUGUUACUUUCAAUGUACUAAUAAGUGGCUCUUGCAAGAUGGGUAAAUAUGGGGAGUCCCUUAAGUUUCUGGAGGAGAUGAUAGAUUUGAAAAUUCCUUUAUCUAAGGAAGUGUACUCAUCUGCAAUCUAUGCAUACAGCAAACAGGGCCAACUAGCAGAAGCCGAAUCGAUUUUCACGAUGAUGAAGAGUGUCAGUUGUUCUCCUGAUGUGAUAACAUACACCACCAUGAUGCAUGCAUAUAGUGCAGCAGAAAACUGGGAGAAAGCAUUUGCACUCUUUCAAGACAUGGAAAUGAAUGAUAUCCAACCGGAUUCUAUUGCAUGUUCCUCUCUAAUGAAAGCUUUCAACAGAGGAUCCCAGCCAGCUAGGGUUCUUCUUCUAGCAGAGUUGAUGAGAGAGAAAAGUAUUGCUUUUAAUGAAGCUAGUAUCUUCGAGAUGAUAUCAGCUUGUAGCAUGCUACGUGACUGGAGAACAACUAUUGAAUUAAUUGAAAAGGUGGAACCUUCUUUCUUAGAACUUUCACUUGGGCUACUUAAUCAGCUUCUGCACUUUCUUGGAAAGAGUGGGAAAGUUGAAAGUAUGAUGAAGCUGUUCUUCAAGAUAGUAGCAUCAGGUGUGGAGAUCAACUUCGGGACUUACUCAAUUUUGUUGAAGAAUCUUUUGGCUGCUGGUAAAUGGAGGAAAUAUAUUGAGGUUCUGAAUUGGAUGGAAGAUUCUGGAAUUCAACCUUCACUUGAAAUGUAUCGCAAGGUCUUCUCCCAUGCCUGCAAAGAUAAUAGUACGGAGUACACUGCUCUCAUCCAAGAAAAAAUAGGUGUACCUCACCGUGCAGGAAUUGCUGCCCAAGGAUAAAGUUGGUCCAUUCAGAGGUGUGCCAUGAUACUAAAGGUGACAGAAAAGUUGAAGAGGAAAGUUGUGUAAAGGCAUCACAAGGAGCUGCAGUUGUGCUAUACACAUCCCAUUGCUUGACAAACCAAAGGGCAAAGCUAGCAAGGGUGGAUCCAUGUCCCUCUCUGGAGAACGAUAUUCCUACUUUAAUUGCAUCAGUCACAAAUGGAAGGAUCAAAUUGGAAAGCUCGACAUUUGCACAAAGCUCAAUCAAGUAUUUGCCUCUGAUGCCCUCAGGUGAAACUUGUGCUUUUCUUUUGCGCCUUGCUAGAGAAAGUCCCUUCAAGAUCACUCCAUCAUUUGUAUCACGUUUAUUGGACACUGAAUAGGGGGCACACAAUAGGUGGACAUGUUAGCUAAAGCCGUUUUGAUGAGGAUCAACACCCAAGUGACAAGUACCUUCUUUUCCAUCCAGAAAGCUCCCACAGACAUUUUGGCAGUUUUUGAAUGGGCAAAGGAAAGAUGGAGAUGAGAUGCCAGGAGCUUGCCUGACUUGCACUAGAACUGCCCUCAAGAUUAUCAGUAUCCUCUCCCCUGAAGUGUCCCUAAUGAUUCACUUUUUUAUAGAUGUUUUUUAUUUUUUUUCCUGAGCUAACACCACUUGCACAUGCCCAUGGGCACACACGUAAUAAGGCAAUUUGUAACUGCUUUUUCCACCCCACUUUUCUGAAAGCAUAUGGAGUUAAACCCUUCAUUGAUCAAUUUCCUGUUAUUUUGAUCUAUUAACCAGUUACUUAUGUUGGCUAUGCUUCCUUGGAUUUAACUAAACUAAUUAAGGCCCUGUUUGGUAGAUGCCUUAAAACGAGUUCCAUCUCAUUUUCAUUAAAUUAAUUUUAUUUUAGAGAUCUUGAUCUCUAAUACAUUUGACGGUAAGAGAAGUUAUGUAUUAGAGAUCCAGAUCUCUUAUAGACAGUGACUGUUAACUAAAAUGAGAUGAAUUCACUUUUAGGCAUCUACUGAACAGGGCCUAAAUUUUAAUCCCUGAUUUAAAUAAAUGGUUUUACUGACUAUAUUAUAGAUCACUGAACAAGAACAGAUGUUAAUCCAUUUUUCGUUCUGGACUAGGUCCUCGUCAUCGUUGUUUCCUCUUUUUCUUAAAGAUGGUGUUUUAAACAAUGCAGCAAACUUUCUAUCCCAAGCAUGCGUCUCCCCCAAUCAUUUAUCCGAUUGUCCUUACCCUAGUUGGGCUAUUCAAAAGUCACAUUGGUGCUGAUCUUUUGAUCAGUGAAAUUGUCCUCCUGAUGUCAGUUAUCAUCCAUUUAUAUCUUAACAGUUCAUUUAUAGGACAUCAGCCUAGCUGUAUGGAUUGUUUGAUUACAUGAUUUGGAGAUGUGGCCUAAAUAUAAUUGGGACCGAUGAAUGGUCCAGAUCCCCCUUGCCUAUAUUUCUAUGCACUAUUGUUUUGCUAUGCCAAAAAACACCCUCUUAGCGGUCUUGAUUUUCUAUCUGCUAUGAACAUAAAAUCAGCAAAAAAUAAAGAAAGUCAUGAUAUUAAUGUGUGACAAUUUACAAUGAAAACAUAUUCUUCCCUUUCUAAUUUUAGCUAUUAUAAAAAAUGAAAAACAAAAAGAAGUGAAAUCAUGAAAGUAAUUUCAUCUCACUUUGAAGGAUACUGUGCCCAUCCAGUUGAGUUGCUCGCAGAUAGCUUGUGUUUAAGUGUAACUUUGUUGGUCCCUUCCUUAACUAGGUUUCACUAUUCUGAUGCUUGAGAAGCUUGCAAGGUUGUGUACCUAACUAACCCUCGUGUCGAUUCCAUCAGUUUCCAUCCUUGUUGAUUCAGGUCCAGGCGCGGUGCAGUUUCGAUCCAUUUGCCCACACCACCAAGCUUAGAAGAAUAAAUGGCCUGGGUCAAGCCAACCUUGACCCAUCCAAGGUUGGAAAAAGUCCAGUUCAAGCUCGUUUAAUGUCUAAAAUCCAUACAUUUCAAAUGGUAGUGGGAAAAAAGAAGAAAAAAUCAUUUUUCUUGUCACAAGGAAUUAAACUUUUUUAUAUUCUUAUAUAAUUUUUUGAGGGUGACUAGAAGGCAGAGAUUGCUUGUUGUAAUCAACUGAUAGAAUUAAGUGGAAGCUGGAAAGAGGAAUCAAUGUGUAGAGGGGUUGCCAGGAAAAAGAGGAGUCUGCAGGGUCAAAGAAUAAUUUGGCCUAAUAUUUUUAUUACCAUGUUAAGUGACGCAUCCUUAACCUAAUAUGUUAUUAUAAUGCAAGUGAUGCACCCUCCCUUAGCCCAAUUCAAGAUGAGAGUCCAUCCCAUGAAUCAGGACCAAGUCUGGCUACCUAGCCAAUUAUUUUCAGCCCAAGU